GGCAAGAUGGCCGAGCGGUCUAAGGCGUGGGACUCAAGCGUAGCUUGCCUGUAUUCACGGGUUCUCAUCUUCGUAAGAAGGCCAGGGUUCGAGUCCCUGUCUUGUCA